AAGGAGCACCACGAAAAGGGGCUUCCGCAGUGGGCGGAAGUCGAGCCGUGAGGAGUUCGUGUCUGUAGUGGGCGCGGGCUGGGUGCACAACAACAAGCGAGAAGCCGAGCACACUGUUGGGUCCUGAGACAACACCCGGGCCCUUUGGGGUUGGUGUUGUUGCCUCAUCUUUGGUGGUGGGGUGUGGUGUUUGAGUGUUGGAUAGUGGUUGCGAGCAUCUAGCAAGCAAAACUUGGUUGUUUUGUUUGUCGAGUUGUUUUCUUUGGUUUUGUGU
rnacentral:rRNA from 1 species